rnacentral:tRNA from 1 species
GGGGUGUAGCUCAGCUGGGAGAGCGCUUGAUUUGCAUUCAAGAGGUCGUGGGUUCGAUCCCCAUCUCCUCC